UGGCCAAUCUACCCUUCGGAGAGCGAUAACCUCGGGAAACUGAGGCUAAUAGCUCAUAUCACACUCACACUGGAAUGUCGAGUGUGUCAAACGCUCCGGCGCCGAAGGAUGUGGCUGCGGCCGAUUAGGUAGACGGUGGGGUAACGGCCCACCGUGCCGAUAAUCGGUACGGGUCAUGAGAGUGAGAACCCGGAGACGGAAUCUGAGACAAGAUUCCGGGCCCUACGGGGCGCAGCAGGCGCGAAACCUUUACACUGCACGCCAGUGCGAUAAGGGGAUCCCAAGUGCGUAGGCAUAGAGCCUACGCUUUUGUGUACCGUAGGGAGGUACACGAAUAAGGGCUGGGCAAGACCGGUGCCAGCCGCCGCGGUAAUACCGGCAGCCCAAGUGAUGGCCGAUUUUAUUGGGCCUAAAGCGUCCGUAGCUGGCCGCGCAAGUCCAUCGGGAAAUCUCCCCGCUCAACGGGGAGGCGCCCGGUGGAAACUGCGUGGCUUGGGACCGGAAGGCGCGACGGGUACGUCCGGGGUAGGAGUGAAAUCCUGUAAUCCUGGACGGACCGCCGAUGGCGAAAGCACGUCGCGAGAACGGAUCCGACAGUGAGGGACGAAAGCUAGGGUCUCGAACCCGGAUUAGAUACCCGGGUAGUCCUAGCCGUAAACGAUGCCUGUUAGGUGUGGCUCCCACUACGAGUGGGUGCUGUGCCGUAGGGAAGCCGCUAAACAGGCCGCCUGGGAAGUACGUCCGCAAGGAUGAAACUUAAAGGAAUUGGCGGGGGAGCACUACAACCGGAGGAGCCUGCGGUUUAAUUGGACUCAACGCCGGACAUCUCACCAGCAUCGACUGUAAUAAUGACGGUCAGGUUGAUGACCUAGCCACGAGUUACAGAGAGGAGGUGCAUGGCCGCCGUCAGCUCGUACCGUGAGGCGUCCUGUUAAGUCAGGCAACGAGCGAGACCCGCAUCCUUACUUGCCAGCAACACCGCGAAGUGGUUGGGGACAGUAGGGAGACUGCCGUGGCCAACACGGAGGAAGGAACGGGCAACGGUAGGUCAGUAUGCCCCGAAUGUGCUGGGCAACACGCGGGCUACAAUGGUCGAGACAAAGGGUUCCUACUCCGAAAGGAGACGGUAAUCUCAGAAACUCGAUCGUAGUUCGGAUUGUGGGCUGAAACUCGCCCACAUGAAGCUGGAUUCGGUAGUAAUCGCGUGUCAGCAGCGCGCGGUGAAUACGUCCCUGCUCCUUGCACACACCGCCCGUCAAAGCA
rnacentral:rRNA from 1 species